ACAGGAAAUACAACAGCUUUCAAGUUGUUUCUCCUUCUUUUCUGUCCAAUUUCAGCCCUUAGCUUCAUAAAAUUACAGGCAUGUCCAGAAGUAGUGAAAUUUUAGUGUGGCUACAAUAACUUAAAGAUCAGAAACGGGAUAAUUAUGGAUUUUUUUUUUACCAUGGUUAUGUUUAAAUUACACAUCAGGCACAUUCAGCAGCUAGCGAAACACUUUAUGAGUAAAUAAGAUGGGUAAACUAAGGGAGGUAAGGAAAACAUGGAUAAGAAUAGGCCACAUGAGGGAUGGAGAUCUGACAGGCAAUGUGGAUUUGAAUUAAAAGGCCACAAAUAGAAUUCAUUCAGAAGGUUGUAGCACCUUCGGAAACCAUCUUUGGUGGACAAGUCUCCUCUGGAAGGAGAAAGGAAAAGAAAUAGA